UAUUCUUCCGCAAUGGUUUCAACCCAUUCAACCUCUUUACUUUUUUCAUGAUCACUGGGUUGUUUGCCUAUACUAAAGACGUUCAGUUCCAAAGUCAUAUUGCCAAAAGAAAGCUUCAUGACACCAUUCCUACAAUUGAUCAAUGCAUUAGAAGUUGCAAGGAAUGGACGUCCUAAGAUGACUGGAAUCUGAGAUGGUGAAUUGGAAGCCGGAUGUGUGUCCAGUACGAUAAAGUCGACAGAAAAAUAGAACUUGUCUACUUGGACCAACACAUCUUCGAUAAUCCCUCUAGGGACCUUCACUGACCGGUCAGCUAAUUGUAAGGUCACAGUUGUUGGCUUCAACUCACCCAAACCGAGUUGCUCAUAUACCGUAUAUGGCAACAAGUUCACACUCUGUUGCCCAGAUAGACAACCCAAGAGGGGGGGUGAAUUGGGUUUUAAAAUAAUUUUGCAAUUAAAACGUUGUGGAUGACUAAUUAAUGCUUUACCAAGAUGAUUAAUUAAUUGCUAUGUGCUGUGAAUGAAAUGAGAGUAAAAGAAAGAGACAAACAAUCACAAAUACAAGGCUUUUAUAGUGGUUCGGAGCUAAUCCUUGCUCAUACGUCCACUCCCCAAGUCUCACUUGGGAAUUCACUAUAACCCCUUGGAUUACAGCCGGUUGUUUUACAAGCUCACAACCAAA
rnacentral:lncRNA from 1 species